rnacentral:lncRNA from 1 species
GUCUUCCUAGCAAGCAGCAAUUAGCUCAAGUAUUGUAAAAUUGUCAUGUUGUCCUUCAACUUCGAUUUGAUUUUUUCUAGUAUGCCUGACAUAUUUUUUUUAGAUUUUUAUAUUGAGUGAAUAUGGAAUAGACUGAUCAUUUAUCAUACUGUUUGUUAUUGUGUCAGUAUUGAAAGUGUCCGUGUUAGAUUGACUCUGUUCUUGAAACUUGCGCCUUUUUUGUGUUGGCAUUUUCUACUGCUUUGAUUUCUUCGUAGCAAGCAGCUUUGAGCUGCUAAAGAUUGUCAAAUUGUCAUGUUGUAAAUCAAAUUGAUUUUUUCCAUUUUGCUUGUUGUUUUUAUUUUUAGGUUGAGUGCAUAUGGGAAAGACUUAUCAUCUCACAAAAUGAUUGUUAUUGUAUCAUAAUAUGCAUAACGAAUAGUGUCCAUGUAAGAUGACUCUGUUGGCAAUUUCUACUGCUUUUAUGUCUUUGUAGAAAGCAGCUGUCAGCUCAAGUUUUGUCAAAUUGUUAUGUUGUAAUUAAUCUUCGAUUUGAAUUUAUCAACUUGCUGUCUCCAUUUUACCUGUGUUUUUUU